GACGAACGCUGGCGGCGUGCUUAACACAUGCAAGUCGAACGGAAAGGCCCUGCGUUUGUGGGGUGCUCGAGUGGCGAACGGGUGAGUAACACGUGAGUAACCUGCCCUUGACUUUGGGGUAACUUCAGGAAACUGGGGCUAAUACCGGAUAGGAGCUCCUGCUGCAUGGUGGGGGUUGGAGAGUUUCGGCGGUUGGGGAUGGACUCGCGGGUUAUCAGCUUGUUGGUGGGGUAGUGGAUUACCAAGGCUUUGACGGGUAGCCGGCCUGAGAGGGUGGCCGGGCACCUUGCGACUGAGAUACGGACCAGACUCCUACGGGAGGCAGCAGUGGGGAAUCUUGCGGAACGGGCGGAAGUCUGAUGCAGCAGCGCCGCGUGCGGGAUGACGGCCUUCGGGGUGUAAACAGCUUUCGCCUGUGACGAAGCGUGAGUGACGGUAACGGGUAAAGAAGCAACGGCUAACUACGUG
rnacentral:rRNA from 1 species